GUUUGAUUAUGGCUCAGGAUGAACGCUAGCUACAGGCUUAACACAUGCAAGUCGAGGGGCAUCAUGGAGUUGCUUGCAAACUCUGAUGGCGACCGGCGCACGGGUGAGUAACGCGUAUCCAACCUUCCCUAUAGUAGAGGAUAGCCCGGCGAAAGUCGGAUUAAUACUCUAUGUUUUCCGUUGCAGACAUCUAAGAUGGAACAAAGGCUUGCCGCUAUAGGAUGGGGGAUGCGUCUGAUUAGGUAGUCGGCGGGGUAACGGCCACCGAGCCAUCGAUCAGUAGGGGUUCUGAGAGGAAGGUCCCCCACAUUGGAACUGAGACACGGUCCAAACUCCUACGGGAGGCAGCAGUGAGGAAUAUUGGUCAAUGGGCGAGAGCCUGAACCAGCCAAGUAGCGUGCAGGACGACGGCCCUAUGGGUUGUAAACUGCUUUUAUGCGGGGAUAAAGUUCACUACGUGUAGUGUUUUGUAGGUACCGCAUGAAUAAGGACCGGCUAAUUCCGUGCCAGCAGCGGC
rnacentral:rRNA from 1 species